AAAAAAAAAAAAGAGAGAAAAAAACCAAAUUGAGAAGGCGAUGAGGAAGAAAUUGCGAGGAUUUCCACGCACAAUUCAAGAUUAGGGUUUCCUUCUCUUUCCUCUUUUCGUGUUCUCUCUCCUCUUUUUGUGUUUUUCUUCCUCUUUUCUUCUGCAGUUCUUCCCUAAUUGGGGCUUUGAUCUCUGACUUUUAAAUUCUCUUCCUUACUUUGAAAUUUGUUUCCUUAGUGAUUUGAUCGACUUUCUGAUGUUGCUUGCCUUCAAUUUCUGAAUUUGAAUGAAUCUUUAGAGCACGUCGUUGAAGAAGGCAGAGAUGGAUGAAGGAGAGGGUGGGUUCGGUGAGGGUGUGGAUCAGAUUGAUCAGUUCCAUCGGAACGAGGCCAUUUCAGCCGUUGCUGAUGAUGGUUUCUUGGGCGAAGAUGAGGAUGAAUACGAGGACCUGUAUAACGAUGUUAAUGUUGGGGAGGGGUUCCUUCAGUCGUUGAGGAAGAACGAUGGUUUGGGAUUCAAGAGGGAGGAGGAACCCAAGAUGGAGCCUCCUGCACCUGUACCACCCACUUCCGGUGCUUCCAUACCUGGUAUCGGUGGAGGUGCGACUGAAGUUACUGGUUUAGGAGAUGCCGGUGGGCAUACUGUUUCGGAGAGAGUAACAGAGGGUUACAACCAGAUUCCAGAUUUAAGAACAAAUGAGAUGGCUAUCAGAGGUGGGGCGGGAUCGGGGCCGCCUGUAGGUGGCGGAGUUGGGAUUAGGGUUGAAUUAGGGCAAGGGAGUAAACCCAUUGAGUUGGAGGAGCGAAGCAGCAAUAACGUAGCUGGGCAUCAGGCUCCGCAACAGCCACAGCUGCAGCCGCAGCCACAGCCGCAGCACCAUCACCAGCCACCUCAGAGCGGAGUCUUAGGAAAUCCUGGGAGUGUAGAAAAUGAAGGUCUGCUAAGGCAAGGUGGUGGAGUUAAUGUCAAUGGGGUCGGUGGAAAUGGGUUCGGUAAUGUAGGGAGUGCAGGGGGAGGUAGCGGUGGAACAGUUUUGUUUGUUGGUGAUUUACAUUGGUGGACUACAGAUGCGGAGCUUGAGGUGGAACUCUGUAAGUAUGGUCCGUUGAAGGAGGUCAAGUUUUAUGACGAGAAAGCCAGUGGAAAAUCAAAAGGCUACUGCCAGGUUGAAUUUUAUGAUCCUUCUGCUGCCACAGCUUGCAAGGAGGGAAUGAAUGGACAUAUCUUUAAUGGACGUCCAUGUGUAGUUGCAUAUGCAUCACCGUUUAGUGUUAAGAAGAUGGGAGAAGCCCAAGUUAACAGGAACCAACAGAUAGCCCAAGCUACUAAUCCUCAAGCAAGGAGAGCUCCUAAUGAUGCUGUAGGUAAAAUUGGUGGAAGUAGUAUUGCAACGGGUGGUAACUAUCAAGGUGGUGAUAACAAUAGAGGUUCUGGGAGAGGUAAUUGGGGAAGGGGUAAUGCUCAUGGAAUGGGUGGUCGAGGACCAGCUGGCCCAAUGAGGGGUAGGGGUGGUGGGAUCGGUGGCAGAGGUAUAAUGGGAAAUGGUGGAAAUGGAUUUGGCCAAGGAAUUGGUGCUACCCCUCCUUUAUUGCAUCCGCAGUCAAUGAUGGGUCAAGGUUUUGAUCCAUCUUUUGGUGCACCCAUAGGAAGAAUGGGUACAUAUGGUGGUUUUCCUGGAGCUCCGGCUCCCCCUUUCUCUGGAAUUUUGUCAUCCUUUCCUCCUGUCGGGGGUGUUGGCCUUCCUGGUGUAGCUCCUCAUGUGAACCCAGCAUUUUUUGGAAGAGGUAUGCCUAUGAAUGGAAUGGGGAUGAUGCCAACAUCGGGUGUUGAUGGGCCUAAUAUGGGAAUGUGGUCUGAUCCUAGUAUGGGUGGAUGGGGCAGUGAAGAGCAAGGUGGUGGGAGAGCUGGCGAGUCUAGUUAUGGAGAAGAAGCUGGUUCUGACCAGCAUUAUGGGGAAGGCAGUCAUGAAAGAGGGCCUUGGGCAAAUUCUGCAAAGGAGAAAGAUAGAGGCUCUGAAAGGGACUGGUCACAGUCUUCUGAUAGAAGGUAUCGAGAUGAUAGAGACGUUGGAUAUGAUAGAGAGAGGUCCAAAGAAAAAGAUCCGGGACCUGACCAUGACUGGCCAGAUAGAAGGCCUCGUGAUGAUAGAGAUAUAGGGCGUGAAAGGGAUAAAGAUAGGGAUCGAGAUAGGGAUAGAGAACGAUCCCGAGAUUAUGAGCGUGGCCAUCAUGAACGUGAUCGUGAACGUGAAAGGGACCGUGACCGUGAUAGGUAUAAGGAUGAUAGGGAAAGAUAUUCUGACCAUCAUAGGUACAGAGACCGGGAACCAGAGCAUGAUGAGGAUUGGGAAAGGGGACGGUCAUCAAGGACUCAUAGUCAUAGCAAGUCCCGUUUAUCACAAGAAGAAGAAAGUCGUUCAAGAUCCAGAGAUGCUGAUUAUGGGAAGAGGCGGAGGCUUACUUCUGAAUAGUUGAACCAUUCAGCGUACAUGCUUUAAACUCUAUAGAGAGCAUGGUCUGAUUUGGUGCAGAAAAUAACUUAAAAGGGCAUUUGAUAGUGAAGAUUUGAUUCAGUGGAACAAAAGUUGGUACGGGGACAACUGCCAGGGGCCUUUAAAUUAUCGUCUGCAUUGAGAGACCCCAUGCAUGGCAAUGCCUUCUCGCUCUAUUAAUUUGAUAAAGAGACUUCUUGGUUUAAACAGUUCUCACGUUUCUUUUGAAUGGUGUUUCUUCUUGACUUCUUGGCACUUGAUGACAUUGAUAUUCUUGGUUGUAAUGGCUUAAAAUAUUGCUGGAGUCUCAGUCAUGUCUGAAUGUUAUCGGACAUGUAAUAGCUUACUAUGUUGUUAGAGUAACUUAGCCUGGAGGAUAUUGUGUUGUGCGUUAUUCUGUUUUAUGAGUUGUUGUAUCAUAUAUCCACACCUCUUUCCUUUC